rnacentral:misc_RNA from 1 species
GAUGAAGAACGUAGCGAAAUGCGAUAAGUAAUGUGAAUUGCAGAAUUCAGUGAAUCAUCGAAUCUUUGAACGCACAUUGCGCCCGCUAGUAUUCUGGCGGGCAUGCCUGGUCGAGCGUCAUUUCAACCAUCAAGCCCUGUUUAGGCUUGUGUUGGGGCCCUGCGGUUGCCGCAGCCCCCUAAAUGCAGUGGCGGGCUCGUUGUCACUCCGAGCGCAGUAGCGUAUCUCGCUCUGGGCGUGGCGGCGGGUGCUAGCCGUGAAACACCCACUAAGGUUGACCUCGGAUCAGGUAGGAAUACCCGCUGAACUUAAGCAUAUCAAUAAGCGGAGGA